rnacentral:rRNA from 1 species
GAACGCUGGCGGCAGGCUUAACACAUGCAAGUCGAGCGGGCGAGGUUGCUUCGGUAACUGAGCUAGCGGCGGACGGGUGAGUAAUGCUUAGGAAUCUGCCUAUUAGUGGGGGACAACAUUCCGAAAGGAAUGCUAAUACCGCAUACGCCCGUACGGGGGAAAGCAGGGGAUCUUCGGACCUUGCGCUAAUAGAUGAGCCUAAGUCAGAUUAGCUAGUUGGUGGGGUAAAGGCCUACCAAGGCGACGAUCUGUAGCGGGUCUGAGAGGAUGAUCCGCCACACUGGGACUGAGACACGGCCCAGACUCCUACGGGAGGCAGCAGUGGGGAAUAUUGGACAAUGGGCGCAAGCCUGAUCCAGCCAUGCCGCGUGUGUGAAGAAGGCCUUUUGGUUGUAAAGCACUUUAAGCGAGGAGGAGGCUACUUGGAUUAAUACUCUAGGAUAGUGGACGUUACUCGCAGAAUAAGCACCGGCUAACUCUGUG